UACAGAGGUCUCAAGCGUUUGUUCGGAUUCAUUGGGCGUAAAGGGUGCGUAGGUGGCGGGGCAAGUUUGGUGUGAAAUCUCGGGGCUCAACCCCGAAACUGCACUUGAUACUGCCUUGCUCGAGUACUGGAGAGGAGAUUGGAAUUUACGGUGUAGCAGUGAAAUGCGUAGAUAUCGUAAGGAAGACCAGUGGCGAAGGCGAAUCUCUGGACAGUUACUGACACUGAGGCACGAAGGCCAGGGGAGCAAACGGG
rnacentral:rRNA from 1 species